AGGACGUGAUAAGCUGCGAUAAGCUGCGGGGAUCAGCAAGUAUGAAUUGAUCCGCAGAUUUCCGAAUGGAGCAAUCCGUAUGUGUAUGCACAUACAUCAUAUACUGAAUCAAAUAGGUAUAUGAGGGGAACCGCCUGAACUGAAACAUCUAAGUAGGGCGAGGAAGAGAAAUCAACCGAGAUUCUGUGAGUAGUGGCGAGCGAAAGCGGAAGAGGCUAAACCAUAGGUAGCAAUACUUAUGGGGUUUCGGACAGCAUUUAGUAUUGAUAAUUUCUAGUUGAAACGUGUGGGAAAACGUACCGAAGAGUGUGAGAGUCACGUAAGCGAAAGAGAGAGUCAGCGAGCUGUAUCCAAAGUACCGCGGGACACGUGAAACCCCGUGGGAAGAUGGGGGGACCAUCCUCCAAGCCUAAAUACUACCUAAUGACCGAUAGCGAAUAGUACUGUGAAGGAACGGUGAAAAGAACCCCGGGAGGGGAGUGAAAAAGAACCUGAAACCCUAUGCUUACAAGCACCGAGAGCACGUCAAAGUGUGAUCGGGUACCUUUUGUAGAAUGGUCCGGCGAGUUAUUGUAUGCGGCAAGGUUAAGUGCUUAAGGCACGGAGCCGAAGCGAGAGCAAGUCUGAAUAGGGCGAAAAAGUCGUAUGCAAUAGACCCGAAACCGAGUGACCUAUCCAUGUCCAGGCUGAAGUGGAGGUAAAACUCCAUGGAGGGCCGAACACACGUCCGUUGAAAAGGCCGGUGAUGAGGUGUGGAUAGCGGAGAAAUUCCAAUCGAACUCGGAUAUAGCUGGUUCUCUCCGAAAUAGCUUUAGGGCUAGCCUCGUGAAAGAUUACUGGAGGUAAAGCACUGAAUGGGCUAGGGGUCGAAAGAUUACUGAACCCUAUCAAACUAAGAAUGCCAGAUAAUUGAUUCACGGGAGUCAGACAAUGUGAGAUAAGUCUCAUUGUCAAAAGGGAAACAGCCCAGACCCACAGCUAAGGUCCCUAAACAUUGUUAAGUGGAAAAGGAUGUGGGGUUGCAUAAACAACCAGGAUGUUGGCUUAGAAGCAGCCACUCAUUAAAAGAGUGCGUAAUAGCUCACUGGUCGAGUGACCCUGCGCCGAAAAUUCAACGGGGCUAAACAAUGUACCGAAGCUUGGGAUUCUAGAUUUAUCUAGAGUGGUAGGAGAGCGUCGAAUAAGGGGUGAAGUCAGAGCGGAAGCGCUGGUGGACUUUAUUCGAGUGAGAAUGCCGGAAUGAGUAGCGAGAAUUAUGUGAGAAUCAUAAUGGCCGAAAAUCUAAGGUUUCCUGAGGAAGGUUCGUCCGCUCAGGGUAAGCCGGGGGCUAAGGCGAGGCGGAGACGCGUAGCCGAUGCACAUACGGUUGAAAUUCCGUAGCCACCGAAAGAUUUAAGUACAGGGACGCUUUAGAAGUGAUGUUGCCGGGCGAUGGUUGACCCGGUCGUAAGGGAUCGAAAAUGAGUAGAGAAGUCAUCAUGGAAAGAGACAAGAAAAGCUGUAUGAAUAUCUUAGGUGCCCGUACCGCAAACCGACACAGGUAGAUAGGAAGAAGAUUCUAAGGCCAACGGGAGAAGGGUUGUUAAGGAACUCGGCAAGUUGACCCCGUAACUUAGGGAUAAGGGGUGCUCAAGUGAUUGAGCCGCAGAGAAUAGGCCCAGGCGACUGUUUAGCAAAAACACAGGUCUCUGCUAAAUCGAAAGAUGACGUAUAGGGGCUGACACCUGCCCGGUGCCGGAAGGUUAAGAGGAGAUGUGAGAGCAUUGAAUUGAAGCCCCGGUAAACGGCGGCCGUAACUAUAACGGUCCUAAGGUAGCGAAAUUCCUUGUCAGGUAAGUUCUGACCCGCACGAAAGGUGUAACGAUCUGGGCACUGUCUCAACAACCCGCCCGGCGAAAUUGUAGUACCGGUGAAGAUGCCGGUUACCCGCGACUAGACGGAAAGACCCCAUGGAGCUUUACUGUAGCCUAAUAUUGGAUUUCGGUAUUUCACGUACAGGAUAGGUGGGAGACUGGGAAGCACAGGCGUCAGCUUGUGUGGAGUCGACCUUGGGAUACCACUCUUGGAGUGCUGGAAUUCUAACCUGCGGCUUUGAAGCAAGUCGGGGGACAUUGUUAGGUGGGCAGUUUGACUGGGGCGGU
rnacentral:rRNA from 1 species